rnacentral:rRNA from 1 species
GAUGAACGCUAGCUACAGGCUUAACACAUGCAAGUCGAGGGGAAACGACAUCGAAAGCUUGCUUUUGAUGGGCGUCGACCGGCGCACGGGUGAGUAACGCGUAUCCAACCUGCCCAUCACUUGGGAAUAACCUUGCGAAAGUAAGACUAAUACCCAAUGAUAUCCCACGAAGGCAUCGGAAUGGGAUUAAAGAUUUAUCGGUGAUGGAUGGGGAUGCGUCUGAUUAGCUUGUUGGCGGGGUAACGGCCCACCAAGGCAACGAUCAGUAGGGGUUCUGAGAGGAAGGUCCCCCACAUUGGAACUGAGACACGGACCAAACUCCUACGGGAGGCAGCAGUGAGGAAUAUUAGGCAAUGGGGGAGAGCCUGAACCAGCCAAGUAGCGUGCAGGAAGACGGCCCUAUGGGUUGUAAACUGCUUUUAAAAGGGAAUAAAGUGGGUCACGUGUGACUUUUUGCAUGUACCUUAUGAAUAAGGACCGGCUAAUUCCGUG